rnacentral:rRNA from 1 species
AUGCGGAUUCGACGUUUCCGCAGCCGGAUCAUCAAUUCAGGUUCGGCGACUCGACAGUCGUGGUUCUUGAAUCGAUCGAGUAAGCAAAAGGCUGCUGAUAAAUUUUCCAUUGGGAAGGAGAUGAUUUAUUUUAGUCUUCAUGGAUCGACGAUGCAGCCAGUUGCUCCCAGCCCAGCCAGUUCCCUGUAUAAGUACUCCCUCGGUCCCUCCCAGCCAGUUGCUCCCGGCAUCCAGCGACCAGAGGCACAUGCAGCAGUAGAAAUUCAGAUUCAAAACCAGCCAUGCUUCAGAAGACUUGAUUGCUCGAGGAUCCAAGAGUCCAGUGACAUUCAGGCAUUCAGUUUUCAGAUUCAGAGAUUGCGAUGGCGUUUGGGUCGAAACGUAAGUUAG